rnacentral:misc_RNA from 1 species
AUUUCCCCAAUGGGUUCUCCGGAUUUCUGGAGACUUGUAGGGGUUGUGGGAUUUUUGAUGUGUCGUCUCCGGACGGGCGGUGCAGGGUAGUCGAGUUAGACUUGGUGGAAUUCCGUCGAUAGGAGUUCCGUCGAGUCUGGUCGGCUGUGUGUUGGACGGUGCAGGGUAGGCUGCUUGGACAUGGUCGGUUCGAGGAUCGAUUCGAGGGCCGGCCUGUCGAUGAUGUGUGAUGUAUGCGGUCUAGGGUAGGCUGGUUUGUCUUGGUUCAAUUUGAUGUCGGCUCCCGUGCAGGUCAGAGUGAAGGGGGGUCCAGGGUAGGUACAGGGUAGGCAGCUUAGAUUUGGUCGAUCUGGAGGUCGAUUCUCCGGCUGGCGGAUCUGACACUGUCGAAACGAGAUGCGAGCGGUGUAGGGUAGGCUAGUUUCGUCCUCGCCAGGUUGCGAUUCGGACGAGAUAUGUGGUCUAGGGUAGGCUCUAGGGUAAGUAGAAUUCUAGUUUCGUCGCCGACAGUUUUCUUUGGGUGUAUGGUAGGUACAGGGUAGGCAAAUCUCUCUCCGGCCAGUACUUGUCUGGUGGUCGUGAGUCGAUUUUUUUGUUUU